AUUGAACGCUGGCGGCAGGCCUAACACAUGCAAGUCGAGCGAGCGGGGGAAGGGGGAGUAAUGUCUGGGAAACUGCCCGAUGGCGGGGGAGAACAACUGUAAACGGUAGAUAAAACCCCAAACCAUCAGAUAUGACCAGAUGGGAUUAGCUAGUAGGUGGGGUAACGGCUCACCUCGGCGACGAUCCCUAGCUGGUCUGAGAGGAUGACCAUCUACAUUGGAACUGAGACACGGUCCAGACUCCUACGGGAGGCAGCAGUGGGGAAUAGUGAAAAAUGGGUGAAAGCCUGAGGCAGCGAUGCCGCGUGAGGGAAGAAGGACUCGGGGUUGUCGAGCAGUUGAAGGGGGGGGGCGGUAACCGCAGAAGAAGCCCCGGCUACCUCCGUGCUAGCCGCCGCGGUAAUAC
rnacentral:rRNA from 1 species